rnacentral:lncRNA from 1 species
GUGAGACCUGUUGACAGAAAUUCAAUCUUGAUUAAGGGACGCAGGAAGGCAUCCAGUUCCCACCAUGCCUGGGGCUCUCUCAUUUAAACAGCUGCCUUUGGCUCUGGCCUGUUCCAUUUCCCACUAGGCCCUGUGGACUUUAAUUUUGGAAGAUUUCACAUCCUCAUAUUUAUUAUUUCUGGGGGAGGUAGUGUCGUGAAACCGAAAUUACCCAGUAGUUAGCUUUUCGUUUUCUUGAUGUACUUGUCCUAUCAGCCUUAAUUGAAGAGAGUCAGACUUCUCAAUGGAUAUGUAUUUAUUUAUUCUCUUUUUCCAGGGAGAGGGGAUGGUCUCCUGAGUUGGCCAUUCUAGACCAAAAUAUAGCUUAAAAGAAGCUUUUUUAAAGAACAGGUCAUGUUAGGAAAAUAAUAUUUUGUUUUUAAAAUUUCACCUAAAGAUUAAGUGUACUUAGGUUUGCACCCCUCGCCGUUUGUUCCCCACUAAUCAAAUGUAGUCUUAGACCUCAGAGGACAGCCUUUCUUCUGCUGCUUGAACCCUCUUCAUAGUCUCUUUACUCUAGAAUAUCACUGAGGUUUUCACUAACCACCAUCUUAUAUAGAGGAAAAACUUCAUAUGGAAAAGUAUACUUAAAAAAAGAGGAAUCAAUGGAUUUUUUAAAAAAUUUAUGGGAAGAUUCAGAUCAGAGCUUUCCAAAUAUAUUUAUAACAGGAUUUGUAAUUUGCUAAAGUUUUCUUUAUGAGCAUAUCAGGGAUGCUUAGUUUUCAUAAAGGGCAGGAUUUGUCUUUGUUGAACAGGAUCUUAUGAUUUGAUUACCUACCUCCUUUUUGAAGCAAUGUUUAUAGGAAAACUUGUGCAUUAGAGAGACCCCAGAUUUUGGAAUCCUGCAGACUUGUUCUUUUAAAACUCAACACUGCUAUGUAUUAGUUUGGUGAUCUUGGAAUAGUGUAACUUCUCUGAGCUUGUUUCCUUGUUUAUAAAAUGGUGAUGGUAGCAUUUAUUUAUAAAGACAUCUAUCUAUUGUCUAUAUUGUUAAUGCAGUUUAAACGAGAUGAUUUAUGUGAAGUGUCUGGUAAGGUGCCUGGCCUACAGUAGACAGUAUUUGGAAGUUAUUAUCUCUUGCUCCAUGAC